ACUGUAAUAAUCAUCAUGGCUUUGGUGUGGCUGCAAGCAGCAGUUGUUGACGGGUGCACUCCAAACGAUAGAAGGUGUGGCACUUUCGUCAUGCCGUGUUGCAGUAAUUCGGUCUGCGUGAAGGUUCCUGGUGACUAUAAUACAUGCAAGGACAAAGGGGACCUCUGCUCGACAGGGCCUGGAGGUGUUCAGAAUUGUCUAAAGCCUGCAUUUGAACGUUAAAGGAGAUUAUCAAUCAUUCUCUCGAAUUGACGAGGACUUCAAAGUGUUUCAGGGUUACAAGCUGUCACGUGAACGGAUAAAAGCCGAGAGGAUUGUACCCCAAAAUUCUGAAACUAUAAUGAUUGUUCUACUUAUGAUUGACCAGUAAACUGAAA